AGUAUGAGCAUGCUCCUCCCACAAUGAUAUCAGUGGAGAUCACCGGGAGUCAGAACCCUCUUUCCAGCAGUAACAGGAAUACACACUGCUCUAGUCCUUCAAUAGGCCCAUCACAGCGUUUUGACUGCAACCUGUCACAUGAGGUCAGGUUCAAGAGCCUUAACCAGAUUGUCCCAUGAAAUAUAAAAUGAGUGUUUUCGGUUGGUUUUUUUCCAAGAUGGUGGAUUAGCGGCUUUCAGCAUGCCUCGGACCCUUGGAAAUGGCAAGAUAGUACAUAAAGAUCAACUCUGUGAGUUUUAAUUCAAGGAGGAAAAUGGAAAUCUACUGGAAUCAUAAAGGACAACCCAGAACCCAGGGAGGAGAAUGCCAGAAAACAGCCCCCAUGAUAGCAUCCAGCUGACAAAGGCUUUUAAAAUUCACAAAGAAAGACAACAAUUAAGGAGAGAAAGAAGUUGACUCCAAAAAUAAAUUUGUAACGAAGAUUGACAUCAAUCAUUAUCACAGGGAAAUACAUCUUCACAGCAGAUAGGAGCAAAAUACGACUUGAAUAGUUCUAUUCUCAUCAAGACUAUUUGUAAGAAAUAGGCACCGGAGAUCGAGCUGAAGAAAAAAGAUUUACUUGAAACUCCAGGAUAGCGACAAUACUGAUGGCACCUUAUGGGGUUUGGUUUGGAAUUGGAGGUUGCUAUGGAGAGCUCAGCAGCUGUCUAGGGAGUGCUCUAGUGCUCUUUCCCUUAAAGUGAUUCAAUUACUUUCUAUAUUUCUUUGUUUCUGUUUCAUUAGUAAGAAGAGCUUCCCUCUGUGCCAUUUAAUUCAAAUUCAUUAGAGAGGGGCUAAGACUGGCCCAUUUGCCAAGCCACACCAUACAAGUCCAAGGUUGCUGAGAAGAUUGUGGAUUAACUACUUAUAGAUCAGCUGUCCAGGCAUGGUCCAUUUAGCUGUGGGACAGAUAGGGCCCUGUCCUGUGAUAUGGAAUAAAGGCCUUCAAGGCAACUGAGAUGCAUGAGUCAAUGAAUGAAUAAAUAUCAAAGCAAUUUGGACAGGGCAGGCAAUAACAGGGAUCUCUAUAACAUCUGCUUUCUCUCCAUCAGCAAGCGGCAUUUUAUAAGAGCCUGUUUCCCCUGGAUCUCUCUUAUACUCAAUAUGUAAUCUGAAAAAUCCUUUCUGUGGCCUGCAUUUCUUUGCAAGACUCAGUUCAUUUGGAA